rnacentral:sRNA from 7 species
UUUACAGGCCUGGAGACUGAUGUCCCUUGCUUAUGCUCAGAAAAAGCAGAGCAUAGACAGUACUGCAAAUAUCUUCCCCUGUAGUACUUUAUCACUUCUGAUCUGGAGAAACCACCUCAGGCAGAAUGAUAAAUGCUGUGUUCUCUGUGGUCACUCAUUGGCAGCC